ACAGGCGUUAAAGCGACAUGAAUGCAGAUAAGACACAGGUUUGAUAGAAAAAACAGACACCAUUCUCGAGGAGGGUCGGAAACAAACAAUCAAACCGGUGUCUUAUCUGCACUCAUGUCGCUUAAACCCCUGGAGUGGCUUAGGAACAACUCUGGAUCUCAGACAGAGCCAAAGGUUCACCUUCCAAAAAGACAAUGGCCCUAGGCACAGAGCCUAGACAACACAAUAGUGGCUUAAGAACAACUAUGUGAAUAACAGAGCCUAGACUUGAACCCAAUCAAAUAUCUCUGGAAGGAUCGGGAAAUGGCUACCUAAAACAGUCUCCAUCCAACCUUAAGAGAAUCUGCAGAAAUGAAUAAGAAAAAAAACUACAGAAAUCCAAGUGUGCAAAGCUUAUUUAAUCAUUCCCCAAGUCAAUAUUAUAGUUCAGGUUUUUUUUCGGUUUCAUAUAUUUCCAAUGGUGUCAAAUAUCAGUUUUUUACUUGGUCAUUAUGG